rnacentral:lncRNA from 1 species
GAAUGGAUAAUGACAUUUUUAUUUAGGUUAAUGUGAUAUGAGAUGGGGCAUGUAAUACGAAAAAUGUUUUAAAAAACAGUGCGGAGAAAAUACUAUAAGACAGUGGAGCAUAAUCUGUCUGUUUGCCAAUAGCCACCAUUUCAGGUUUUCUUCCUUGUACCCAAGCAGUUACGGAAUAUUUACUCUUACACGAGUUGCAUACAAACAAAAGCUCUCUUUGCUGGGCUUGCAAUCAUCUUUAUACAAUCCACAAACCCCACAGUUCUUUCCCUAGAUUUGCAGACAAGCAGGCCUAGGUGGCUUGUGCAAACACACAGGCACAGAUGAACAUACAAUGCUAUCAUCUCACAGAUCUGAACAAAAGACUCUCAUUUGGUUGUUCUGUUUCAUCUUCUUCGUAGGAUAAUGAAUGCUUCCUAUUUUUGUUUAUCCCACAUUUCUUCAUAAAGCAUACAUGUUACAUUUACAAUCAG